rnacentral:lncRNA from 1 species
AAAGAUGCAUGAUGGAGGCCAGGAAUGCUGGCGUCCUCUGGAAGGCAAGAAAACGGGAAAGGGUCUUAGGAGAGUUGGACACAUUCAAAACACAAUAUGUGAUUAAGAAGAUUAAAGAUUAAUACUUAUUGAUGGAUUACUAUGUGCCAAACUUCCAACCGAAUCCUGACAACAAUUCCUUAAGAUGUGGAAACUGCAGUUCACUGAGGUUGACAUUUCCGGGUUCAUACAACAAGGAUGGGGAACAAUGGUUCAGGAUUCACUAAUUCAGUAUUAGCAGCAACUUUACGGAACAAAACUACUGUGGAUAAUGAGAAUUCACUGCGCCCGUUGUUUAAACAGUUAACAGCAGUCACUUUAGUGCCUUUUGUAGAGACAGAGCAACCCUGGCAACCAGUGAUCCACUUCCUGUCUCUAUAAACUUGCUUAUUCUGGACAUUUCAUAUAAAUGGAGCAAUACAAUAUGUGGACGCUGUCUGGCUUCUUUCACUUU